UACGUAGGGUGCGAGCGUUGUCCGGAAUUAUUGGGCGUAAAGGGCUCGUAGGCGGUUUGUCGCGUCGGGAGUGAAAACACUGGGCUUAACUCAGUGCUUGCUUCCGAUACGGGCAGACUAGAGGUAUUCAGGGGAGAACGGAAAUCCUGGUGUAGCGGUGAAAUGCGCAGAUAUCAGGAGGAACACCGGUGGCGAAGGCGGUUCUCUGGGAAUGUCCUGACGCUGAGGAGCGAAAGUGUGGGGAGCAAACAGG
rnacentral:rRNA from 1 species